rnacentral:rRNA from 1 species
AUUGAACGCUGGCGGAAUGCUUUACACAUGCAAGUCGAACGGCAGCACGGACUUCGGUCUGGUGGCGAGUGGCGAACGGGUGAGUAAUAUAUCGGAACGUGCCCAGUCGUGGGGGAUAACGUAGCGAAAGCUACGCUAAUACCGCAUACGAUCUACGGAUGAAAGCGGGGGAUCGCAAGACCUCGCGCGAUUGGAGCGGCCGAUAUCAGAUUAGGUAGUUGGUGAGGUAAAGGCUCACCAAGCCGGCGAUCUGUAGCUGGUCUGAGAGGACGGGCAGCCACACUGGGACUGAGACGCGGCCCAGACUCCUACUGGAGGCAGCAGUGGGGAAUUGUGGACAAUGGGCGCAAGUCUGAUCCAGCCAUUCCGCGUGCAGGACGAAGGCCUUCGGGUUGUAAACUGCUUUUGUACAGAACGAAAAGGUCUCUAUUAAUACUAGGGGCUCAUGACGGUACUGUAAGAAUAAGCACCGGCUAACUACGUGCCAGCCGCCGCCGUAA